GCCCGGCUAGCUCAGUUGGUAGAGCAUUCGACUCUUACGAGUAAUUGUCCCUUGUCCUAAGGGCAUUUGGUAUCGAAUUGUCGUGGGUUCGAGCCCCACGUUGGGCG
rnacentral:tRNA from 1 species